UCCUUUUAAUUACAUAGUCCGUCAUCUGCAAAUAGCUAAUAUUUUCAUACCAGUUACAGUAUCUUUCACAAUUUAACAGAUUUAUCACAAGUUCGGUAACAUAUUUUGUCGCUUAUCCGUUUAAAUUCAUCGGAAAAAACAGCGAGGAAGAGAUGCGCGUAACCAACAACUAAGCAUUAUCGCAUAGUUUCGUCUUUUUUUUAGGUAUUUUUUCUUUGGGGAUCCUGGGGUACAUGGUCAGUGGCACACACACGUGACAGGUGCACGGCUCACAUCGCCCGCUCACAAUGACCUACAAGUGUAUUGGCCGAACCCACCCCGACCUUCUCACCCUUCCCCGCACACUUGUCACGGCGCCGACCUCUCGUGGCGGGGAGAGCAAGGUCCACCACCACCAUCACCACCACCACCACGUCGACCUCGAGCGAAAGCUGGUAAACAAACAUGACCUACCACGUAAGAUGAUAAUACACAGCAAGAAUCUACGCAGUGCUUCACACACACACACACACACACACACACACACACACACACACACACACACUACACGAAAGCGUAACAAAGAGGAUGAAAUGUUUCAAGGAGGGACAUAAAGGAAUUCUGGUCUUAUACACAUACAAAAAAAAAAAAAAAAAAAAACGUUAAUACAUACUCGCAUAAUACUGACUGGUAAGAAUUAAUAAACACACAUGAUACAGUAGAGAGAUGGAUGAAAAAAUAGACAGACAGACAAGUAAAAUCCAUUUAUAACGAGUAAAAAUUAAGAUUAAUAAUGAAAUGAGUAAAAUUGGAAGGACAAACCACCAUCUUAUUCAGCACACACACACACACACACAUUAGUGUAAUAGUGUAGUGGUUAGCAAGCUCGACUCACAAUCGAGAGGGCACAUUUAGAGUCCCGGUAAGCGGCGAGGCAAAUGGGCAAGUCUCUUAAUGU